GCCACAUUUUUGUUACUAACCCUGACUAGAGUGUGGGUUUUGGCUCUUGUACCAAAACUCAGGAAGAAAACCUGCGACUACCAAAAUGUGUGGGCAUCCUGAAAUUUGCUUGCAGUUGGAGACCAGGGCCUCCCACAUGCUGGCAAGUGCUCUACCGCGGAGCUACUCUCUCCUCUCUGAAACUACCCUUGCAAAGCCAUGCCUAUACCUCGUACUCUGAGCAACUACUAUGAAUAUAACAAUAAGCAAUGUGUUAUCUAUUGUUACUGUCCUACUAGCCUGUUUUGAAACUGUUUUGUUGUUAUUUUAAUUUUUUUUCUCUUUAAAAUUACAAAAAAGAAUAUAUUCAGAAAUUGUAUUAAAAAUGUAAAAUUAUACCAUCAA